rnacentral:rRNA from 1 species
GACGAACGCUGGCGGCGUGCUUAACACAUGCAAGUCGAACAGAAAGGCCCUGCUUUUGUGGGGUGCUCGAGUGGCGAACGGGUGAGUAACACGUGAGUAACCUGCCCUUGACUUUGGGAUAACUUCAGGAAACUGGGGCUAAUACCGGAUAGGAGCUCCUGCUGCAUGGUGGGGGUUGGAAAGUUUCGGCGGUUGGGGAUGGACUCGCGGCUUAUCAGCUUGUUGGUGGGGUAGUGGCUUACCAAGGCUUUGACGGGUAGCCGGCCUGAGAGGGUGACCGGCCACAUUGGGACUGAGAUACGGCCCAGACUCCUACGGGAGGCAGCAGUGGCGAAUAUUGCACAAUGGGCGGAAGCCUGAUGCAGCAACGCCGCGUGCGGGAUGACGGCCUUCGGGUUGUAAACCGCUUUCGCCUGUGACGAAGCGUGAGUGACGGUAAUGGGUAAAGAAGCACCGGCUAACUACGUG